rnacentral:lncRNA from 1 species
GUAGUUGACUGGCACUCAGGUGCUAGGCACCAAUAUUCUAAGUUUGGAACUUUAAAAAUGUUAUCUUUAUUUUCAUUUAUGUGUGUGUUUGAGUGCAUGCAUGAACAGGUCUGUGAAUCUCAAGGAGCUGAAGUUAGUUAUGAGCCACCAUGUGGGUCCGGGGGACUGAAGCAGGGUCCUCUGGAAGAGCAGCCAGUGCUUUUAACAGCAGAAUCAUCUCUUCAGGCUGCAUACUCAGCUUUUUGUGUUAAGUUUAACAGCUGAAAUAUUCUCUCCAGGUCAAGUACUCAGGCUUUUUUUGUUAAGCUUCGGGGACUCAAAUUCAGGUCCUUAUUGUUUGUCCAGAAAGCUCUCUUACUCAUUGAGCCAUUCCCCAACCCUUGCUUUUCAUUUUAAGACAGUCUCUCUACCCUGAACUCAUUCUGCUGUCCCAUGAACUUGCCAUCCUCCUGCCUCAGUGCCUCUUGAGAAGGUAGAUAGGGUUAGUCAUGAACAGCACUACCCAGAUUUUUUUUUCCCUUUUAGUGUGUGUGUGUGUGUGUGUGUGUGUGUGUGUGUGGUAUACAGGCAAUGCCACCGGCCUGCUCUCAGGGAUCCAGCAAGUGCUUACAUCAUGACCUAUGGCAGCCAGAUAUACCAGGUUUGCAGUAGAUAGGACCCACCUGCCACCCCAACUCGCUCUCUCUGUUCUCCACUGCCAACUUUCCCUCUCUCUCAUUCUCUGCUCCCCCUGCUCUGCCCUCAUGGCACUGCUCCCCAUCCGUCUACCUGUAUACGUGUCCACUUGUCUGCCUCUGUCACUUCCCCAAGUCUACACUUCCCUUGCCUCCCCCAAUAAACCUAUACACCAGA